rnacentral:rRNA from 1 species
UAACACACAAUUAAACCACCAAUUGUCCGCCAAACAACUACGAGUAAUAACUUAAAACUUAAAAGACUUGACGGUGCUUCACCCCAACCUAGAGGAGCCUGUCUAAUAACCGAUGAUCCACGAUUAACCCAACCCUUUCUCGCCCCAACAGUCUAUAUACCGCCGUCGCCAGCUUACCUUGUGAAAGAAAAAUAGUGAGCCCAACAGCACCACACUAAAACGACAGGUCGAGGUGUAACCAAUGAAAAGGACCAAGAUGGGCUACAUUCUCCACCCGAGAAUACGAAUAACACCAUGAAAUAGGUGUCUGAAGGCGGAUUUAGCAGUAAAUUAGGAAUAGAAUACCCAACUGAACAUAACGCAAUGAAGUGCGUACACACCGCCCGUCAUCCCUGCCACCAC